AUUGAACGCUGGCGGAAUGCUUUACACAUGCAAGUCGAACGGCAGCACGGACUUCGGUCUGGUGGCGAGUGGCGAACGGGUGAGUAAUGUAUCGGAACGUGCCCAGUCGUGGGGGAUAACGUAGUGAAAAUUACGCUAAUACCGCAUACGAUCUAUGGAUGAAAGCGGGGGAUCGCAAGACCUCGCGCGAUUGGAGCGGCAGAUAUCAGAUUAGGUAGUUGGUGGGGUAGAGGCCCACCAAGCCAACGAUCUGUAGCUGGUCUGAGAGGACGACCAGCCACACUGGAACUGAGACACGGUCCAGACUCCUACGGGAGGCAGCAGUGGGGAAUUUUGGACAAUGGGCGAAAGCCUGAUCCAGCCAUUCCGCGUGCAGGAUGAAGGCCCUCGGGUUGUAAACUGCUUUCGUACAGAACGAAAAGGUUUCUACUAAUACUAGGAGCUCAUGACGGUACUGUAAGAAUAAGCACCGGCUAACUACGUGCCAGCAGCCGCCGUAA
rnacentral:rRNA from 1 species